rnacentral:rRNA from 1 species
UACGGAGGGGGCUAGCGUUGUUCGGAAUUACUGGGCGUAAAGCGCACGUAGGCGGCUUUGUAAGUUAGAGGUGAAAGCCCCGGGCUCAACCUGGGAAUUGCAUUCGAGACUGAAUAGCUAGGGUACGGUAGAGGGAAGUGGAAUUUCCGGUGUAGCGGUGAAAUGCGUAGAUAUCGGAAGGAACAUCAGUGCGAAAGCGACUUCCUGGACCAGUACCGACGUUCAGGCACGAAAGCGUGGGAGCAAACAGGAUAGAUACCUUGUAG